CUGCUGUCUGUGCUGUUGACUCACCGCUGAGAGAGCAGCUGGUGAGCCGUCAAGGUGAAGUGAGCAGGGCAGGAACAACAACAUACUGCCGUCACAGCUUGCGUCCCAAAAAUGGUAAUUACUUAAUAAAAUGGACAAGGGGAACAAGCGUCCAUGUUGUUUCCACAUUACAACUUAAAGCUCAUGAACACGCCAAAGGCGGAAGAAUGACUGGGAAUGGGACCAUCCAAGGAGAAAGUGAAUGUGGAGGUGUUGUAAGUCUGUCACCUCUGAACCACCAUGGGCGGAGAGGACACAUCUGCUGCAGCCGUGCAGACGCAUUGCUGAUGAUUACCGCAGAGAACAGAUCUAGGAGUGAAAGGUGCCUGCUCUGGACUGUUUCAGCUGCUGCCAACAUCUCAGAGUGGAAUAUUUACCUUUCACUCUAAAACCGGGAAAAGGGAAGCCAAUAUCCAACACCAACCUGUGUAUUCAGCAGCUGUUUGCUCAGGUGAAUAAAUCCUAAUUUAGGCUAUUUCUGUUUAUUCAGAAAAGGAGGGUUACUAGUAAUGUUGUAAAACUAUCAUUCAUUAAGAGCUGCAAUUCAGAGUUAACUUAAUGCCAAAUAAACCCUGCAAAGAAAAUGAUGCUUACCAUGUGUGUAGAUGUAGGAGAUAUUUGAUUGAUGUAGCUCUUAGUCUCUAUUUGACCCCUUAUUAAUAUGCAAAGUGGACUGAUAUGUUGUGUUAGGUACAUACCAUGUAUCAUUGGUUGAUGCAACAUAAUGAUCUGUAUCUUUGGAAAUAAAACCUCCU